rnacentral:rRNA from 1 species
UUUACGGAGAGUUUGAUCCUGGCUCAGGAUGAACGCUGGCGGCGUGCUUAACACAUGCAAGUCGAACGGUGAAAGCGGAGCUUGCUCUGCUGGAUCAGUGGCGAACGGGUGAGUAACACGUGAGCAAUCUGCCCCUGACUCUGGGAUAAGCGCUGGAAACGGCGUCUAAUACUGGAUACGAGCUGCGAAGGCAUCUUCAGCAGCUGGAAAGAACUUCGGUCAGGGAUGAGCUCGCGGCCUAUCAGCUUGUUGGUGAGGUAACGGCUCACCAAGGCGUCGACGGGUAGCCGGCCUGAGAGGGUGACCGGCCACACUGGGACUGAGACACGGCCCAGACUCCUACGGGAGGCAGCAGUGGGGAAUAUUGCACAAUGGGCGCAAGCCUGAUGCAGCAACGCCGCGUGAGGGACGACGGCCUUCGGGUUG